rnacentral:rRNA from 1 species
UACAGAGGUCUCAAGCGUUGUUCGGAUUCAUUGGGCGUAAAGGGUGCGUAGGCGGCGCGGUAAGUCGGGUGUGAAAUCUCGGAGCUUAACUCCGAAACUGCAUUCGAUACUGCCGUGCUUGAGGACUGGAGAGGAGACUGGAAUUUACGGUGUAGCGGUGAAAUGCGUAGAUAUCGGGAGGAACACCGGUGGCGAAGGCGGCGACCUGGGUCGAUACUGACGCUGAGGCGCGAAAGCGUGGGGAGCAAACAGG